UACGUAGGUGGCAAGCGUUAUCCGGAUUUACUGGGUGUAAAGGGCGUGUAGGCGGGAAAGCAAGUCAGAUGUGAAAACCAUGGGCUCAACCUGUGGCCUACAUUUGAAACUGUUUUUCUUGAGUACUGGAGAGGCAGACGGAAUUCCUAGUGUAGCGGUGAAAUGCGUAGAUAUUAGGAGGAACACCAGUGGCGAAGGCGGUCUGCUGGACAGCAACUGACGCUGAGGCGCGAAAGCGUGGGGAGCAAACAGG
rnacentral:rRNA from 1 species